rnacentral:rRNA from 1 species
ACGCUCGACACCUACGGGAGGUAGCAGUGGGGAAUAUUGCACAAUGGGGGAAACCCUGAUGCAGCAACGCCGCGUGAAGGAAGACGGUUUUCGGAUUGUAAACUUCUGUUCUUAGUGAAGAUAGUGACGGUAGCUAAGGAGCAAGCCACGGCUAACUACGUGCAAGCAGCCGCGGUAAUCUGAGCGGGCUGGCAGGC